rnacentral:rRNA from 1 species
GGUUGCGAUCAUACCAGCACUAAUGCACCAGAUCCCAUCAGAACUCCGCAGUUAAGCGUGCUUGGGCGAGAGUAGUACUAGGAUGGGUGACCCCCUGGGAAGUCCUCGUGUUGCAACCC